rnacentral:lncRNA from 7 species
CACUUCUGGGUCUCGAAGGACUUACCAGCCUGAAUCCAGCAACAGGAUCCUGCCAAAGACUUUUGGCCUGGCCCUGGAAAUCAAAUAUCUUGGUUUGCAUGGCUUCAGAUGUAAGAAACACAAUGGUGUCGAGCUGCCUUUGAAGGAACUCAGCUGGGUGCCUUUGCUUUACCAGGAAGGUUUAGCUGCAGAGGGACAAACCACCCAUCCGUUACUCACUCAUAACUGGAGACUUGGCAGAGUUUCUCUCUCUUUCUCCUCUGGCCAGUGCUGGGGUGAGGAAGGGGAAUGAUUAGCAAGAUUAAUCUCCUGUAGACUAGAUGGACGUGUAAUCUUAUGCACUAUCUUCAAGACAGACUGGGUUGAUGUUAUUGUUUCCUUUUCAUCUGAGUUUACAUCUUCACAAGCAAAGGCAAUAAGAUGGAAGUAGGCAUGAAGGGAAAAACAUGAAGAGAAAGGAAGCUGAAAAAAAAAGAAAAAAAAAAAGAAAAUGCACACACACACACACACAAAAAAAAAAAAAAUCCAAGAAAAAGGACAGUGCUUUUAUUCUGCAGAUUCAGUGGGGGCAGGUGUAAAGCUGAGAAGUGUCUGUAAAGAUCUCCUAAACACCGUACUAACUAAAGUUUCCUGACUUUCCCAAGGAUGACUGUAUCUCAGUGUGUGCGUGGCUGGAGAAAUCACAACUUUACACGUGGUAUUUCAGCUUGCAGUUCCAAGCACCUCAAUUUCCUUGUGUUCACCAGUUUUCCCUGAGUCAACCCAGCAGAGGGAUGGAGGCAGUCUGGGUUCCAUCUUGGGUUAUGCAGGGGUAAAAGAGCCUGUGGAGCAAGACGGAUCAAUUGUCUUUAGAGCUGGUCAGAUUCAUGGCAUCAGUGAACCAUUCCCAAAGCGGAGACCCACAUGUUGAGGCUGCCAGAAAGCACAGGAUCCUCUCCUGCCUCAGGACACCACACUGCUGCCCUGGGCAGAGCUCAUGUAGGAUCCCUGUGUGAGCAAAAUCCUAUCGCUGCCUUCGAACAAGCUCUAGAUUUGGUUGGAGCGGCAUCAAAGGAAAGGGGAGGUGAAGCUGAGGACUCGACCCGCCAGCCCAGGCUGAACUGCAAGGCUGGCAGCGAGGGGAAAACAUAUUUCUGCUGCUAAACAGAUUUGGGCUGGAAUCGGUGAGCAAUUACCAGGCUGCCUCUCUGAAGUUUUCUUAGGAAGAGCUCUGCACGUGCACAGAUCGUGCAGUUUUGCUGGAUUUCUCUGCCUUACAAACACUGCUCAGAUUUUAGUGAAUGCAUAAUUUUCUCUUUGGUUGAUCACUGCCAGGAGUUAUUCUGUUAUACCUAGGGUUGUCUAUUUACUCUUUAAAGUGUGUUCCUUUUAUUUAUUCCUCCAGAGCUGCCUGUUUAAUCCAAUCUCUUUUCCACUGAAUUACACCAACACAAUAAAACGAGACAAAC